rnacentral:rRNA from 1 species
GACGAACGCUGGCGGCGUGCCUAAUACAUGCAAGUCGAGCGCAGGAAAUCGACGGAACCCUUCGGGGGGAAGUCGAUGGAAUGAGCGGCGGACGGGUGAGUAACACGUAAAGAACCUGCCCUCAGGUCUGGGAUAACCACGAGAAAUCGGGGCUAAUACCGGAUGGGUCAUCGGACCGCAUGGUCCGAGGAUGAAAGGCGCUUCGGCGUCGCCUGGGGAUGGCUUUGCGGUGCAUUAGCUAGUUGGUGGGGUAAUGGCCCACCAAGGCGACGACGCAUAGCCGACCUGAGAGGGUGAUCGGCCACACUGGGACUGAGACACGGCCCAGACUCCUACGGGAGGCAGCAGUAGGGAAUCUUCCACAAUGGACGAAAGUCUGAUGGAGCAACGCCGCGUGAACGGUGAAGGCCUUCGGGUCGUAAAGUUCUGUUGUAAGGGAAGAACAAGUGCCGCAGGCAAUGGCGGCACCUUGACGGUACCUUGCGAGAAAGCCACGGCUAACUACGUGCCAGCCGCCGCCGUAA